GGCCGUCACAUGAGGUACGGAAGGUUCACAAACCAAAACUAAAUUCGAAACGCGCGCCGAACCGGACUAUUUCGCGGAGCAGUACAUGUGCAGUAGCUCCGUCCUCUCGUAGCCUUCCCUUCACUGCCAAGAAAAGUUGUCCUUGGGGGCGCUUUAGUUGUUUGACGGGUGCGCGGUGCGUUCGGUUUGUGCGUGUGUGUGUGCCAUGCUGUGUUCUGCAAUGCUUCGUUACCACGUUUAUCGAUUAUGCACGUUGGUUGCGUGAUUCAAUGUCAAGUGUACCUUCCAAGACGAUCUAGGUCCUAGUCUCGUGACUGACGGCGAGUGCAGACGUACAGCAGCCUUUUGACAAGACUGUCGCCGAGUGUACGGUACAUUGUGGACUGUAAAACUGAAGAGUGCACAGUGGACGCCUGAUUUUGGAACCGAGUGUGAUCGUCUGUGCGGUGUGUUCACUCUGCGGGGAUGAUGGCCAGAGGAAGGAUGAUAGACAGACGACAGCUUGCAGAAGAAGAUGGGAGCGUUCUACCUGUGAGCCUGGUCCAGCUUAUAUUUUAUGGAUACACAUGCAUGGAUACACAUACAUGGAUUCCCUACAAGGACCCUGCACAUCAAAAGCAAUCUGUCAUCAAUGUUAAGUAGACAGAUUAAACGAAACGAAGAUAUGACAGGUGUACACCAUAUUUUUCUUUCAUUUAACCUCUGCAUGU